UGAGGAAUAUUGGUCAAUGGACGCAAGUCUGAACCAGCCAAGUAGCGUGCAGGAUGACGGCCCUAUGGGUUGUAAACUGCUUUUAUAUGGGGAUAAAGUGGGGAACGUGUUCCCUUUUGCAGGUACCUUUCGAAUAAGCGCCGGCUAACUACGUGCCAGCAGCCGCGGUAAUACGUAGGGCGCAAGCGUUAUCCGGAAUUAUUGGGCGUAAAGAGCUUGUAGGCGGUUCGUCGCGUCUGGUGUGAAAGCCCAUCGCUUAACGGUGGGUUUGCGCCGGGUACGGGCGGGCUAGAGUGCAGUAGGGGAGACUGGAAUUCCCGGUGUAACGGUGGAAUGUGUAGAUAUCGGGAAGAACACCAAUGGCGAAGGCAGGUCUCUGGGCUGUUACUGACGCUGAGAAGCGAAAGCGUGGGGAGCGAACAGG
rnacentral:rRNA from 1 species